CCUAUUUUGGGACAUGUGGUUGUGACCACAGUGCUCUUCUGCCUUCAAUAAACGGCUCAUGUUAUGAUUAGAACGUUGACACCAAUGGAAACUGGGUGACUGGAUGCUAAUUGUCUUUUUAAAGAGGUAGGGAUGUUUUGAGACAUGUCCUCAAAUGGGUUAUGUAGCUGAGGAUGGUCUUCAAGUCUGGAUCCUCCUGUCUCUACCUCCAAGUGUCAAGAUUACAGCCCUGCACCACCGCCAAGUGUCUAAGGGAUCCCUGUGAAAGAUGGACUGAUAUUUUAAGAAUGAAAUUGAAAGCAAACACCAGUGAACUAAAUGCAGUGUGCUGCUAGAUUACAUCCUUAAAAGAGAAAAUGGCCCAGAGAAGGCAAUUGCCAUGCAGCAAAAGUUUCUCAAUGCUUUGGAAAAGAGUUCCAGCCCACUGGCCUUUCAGCCACCAACGAGCUCUGCAUGACGGAAAUGACUCACACAAGGAAAAUGAGCGGUGUUCCAGGUGGCUGUCUCCAGACUCUGCAGGCACCUAUUGCUGUUGGAAAGAUACUUUGACGAAGAAGGGCCUCUUGGAAAAACCAGAAAUAAACCAGCACUUGCUCCAGGAGUUCUCUCCCCAAGAAGAAAUUCUAGUCUGAGGCCAGGGUUAAGACAUCAUCAUAUCCGGUAGCUGCCUUGCCCAUGUGAUAGGUGAUCAAGCCCCAGGACAUGGAGAUGCCAUUAUGGGUGCUCUUUCUAAUUUUCAGCUUGGUUUAACUUGAAAACAAUGAUAAUCACUUCCAAGUCAAUAAAAUUAAUUCUACAUAAAACAUGUACUGAAUAGAAAAAGACAAAAUGUAAAAGUUAAUCGUGGGUGUAUCUAUAGGAUCCCAAGCAACAAGAAGCCUAAAGCUUGAAAGGGUUAGGUAGUUUCUUGGCCCUAGGUCAGACCUGCUUGGACUACUGGGCUCUAGAUGUUUGAGAUGGUAGGGUUAGUGUUUUCUUUUGUUGUCUCCUUUCUCUAAAAGGUCUCAUGUCACUCAGACUGUUUGUAAACUGUAUCCAUAGCCAAAGAUAACCUAGACUUCCAAUGUCUAUGUUCCAAGUGCUAGCAGCAUAGGCAUACACCACCAUACCAGCUUUGUUUUUUUCUUACUAUCUAUCAAAAAUAGUUGCGAAAAUAACAUAUCUAUUUGGGGGGCCUGCUUGUCUUUGUAAAAUCAUUUACACCUAGACAGCAUGGAGUUAUUCCUGUUAUAAAUAUCCCAUACCAGCUUCUCAACAUGGAGCCUAGUGUAGUGACUGGAUUAAAACUGGGACUCUGAUAUCAGAUGACCUAUAUUCAAAGUUUGGCUAUGUGAUCUAUAUCAUGUCUCUUAGUACUUUUACUUUAGUACCUACAGCCUGGAUAUAACAAUUCAUCUCUGAGAAGUGGGCUAUGGGAAUUAAACCAUUUACUAGGUCAAAAGUCAUCGGGAGAGUUCCUGACUCAUACUAAGUGCUAGUAAAUGUUGGCUGAAAAGACCUUACUUGGGGCUAGGGAGAGGGUUCAUAAAGCUAAUGCCCCCGAAGUAGGAUGGCCAGAGUUCAUAUCCCCAGCAGACCUACAAAUGGCAGGUGGAUGCGGCAGCCCACCUGUAAUCUUAGAACUCAGGAGGCUGAGACAGGGGAUCACUGGAGCAAGCUGGAUUGCAAGAUGAGCCCGACUGGCAAGCUCUGGGUUCAAGUGAAAUAUUCUGUCCUUAUGCAUAAGAUAAAGACUGAUCAAGGAAGACAUUAACACCAACCUCGUUCAAUGUGUAUCCUAGCUAAAGAAUCCAAAAUGUAAGGAAGCCAGUUGUUGGGGGUUUUUUGUUUUUGUUUUUUGGGGUUUUUUGUUUUUUGUUUUUUGUUUGCUUGUUUCUUUCUUUCUUUGUUUGUUUUAAGUAGUCCAUAAGCCUUUUCCUAUGGAGAAAUAUUACCUUUACAGUGGUCAGCCAGGUUUGGUAGACUGGCAAAUCAUUGCUUUGGAAAAGGGACCUCCCAUUCCCUCUAAAGCUGUCCAGGAUACAAACAUCCUUGAGAAGCCAGUGGGGAAGACAUACAUGGUGAACAGUGGUUGCUCGUCAAUAUAUGCAUCACUCUGAUGUAUCUUGUACCCCAAUAAAAGAUGAUUGAAAGUGCUACAUCAAGGGUUCGGGAAUAAUUUCACAUCUUAUACCGUUGAGUUAGGGUCUCACAUUGGUCCCAGAGUUUGCCAGUUUGGCUCAUCUAACAAGCCAGCUUGCUCCAGGGAUUUCCCAUCUCUGCCUUGUGAAUUCUAGGAUUAUAGGUGGGUUCCUAUGUCCACUUGCCAUUUGUGUGUCUGCUGAGGACCUAAACUCUACUCCUCCUGCUAUGGUGGCCAAGUGCUUUCUUCACUGAGCAGUGUCUCCUGCCCCCAACUAAGAAAUUUUUUUUAGUCUUGUAUCAUGACCUAAAGUCUUGAUUUUUUCCAACUUUAUUACAUUGGGUAUUUCUUAUUUACAUUUCAAAUGUUAUUCCCUUUCCCGGUUUCCAGGCCAACAUUCCCCUAACCUCUCCCCCUCCCCUUCUAUAUGGGUGUUCCCCUCCUCAUCCUCCCCCCCCCCCCCGUUACCUCCCUCCUCCCAAGAAUCCUAUUCACCGGGGGUCCAGCCUUGGCAGGACCAAGGGCUUCCCCUUCCACUGGUUCCCUUACUAGGCUAUUCAUUGCUACCUAUGCAGUUGGAGCCCAGGGUCAGUCCAUGUAAAGUCUUUGGGUAGUGGCUUAGUCCCUGGAAGCUCUGGUUGUUGGCAUUGUUGUUCAUAUGGGGUCUCAAGUCCCUUCAGCUCUUUCAGACCUUUCUCUGAUUCCUUCAACGGGGGUCCCGUUCUCAGUUCAGUGGUUUGCUGCUGGCAUUCGCCUAUGUAUUUGCGAUAUUCUGGCUGUGUCUCUCAGGAGAGAUCUACAUCCGGUUCCUGUCAGCCUGCACUUCUUUGCUUCAUCCAUGUUAUCUAGUUUGGUGGCUGUAUAUGUAUGGACCACACGCGUGGCAGGCUCUGAAUGGGCGUUCCUUUAGCCUCUGUUCUAAACUUUGCCUCCCAUCCCUUCCUAAGGGUAUUCUUGUUCUCCUGUUAAAGAAGGAGUGAAGCAUCUGCAUUCUGGUCAUCCUUCUUGAGUUUCAUGUGUUCUGUGCAUCUAGGGUGAUUUGAGCAUUUGGGCUAAUAUCCACUUAUCAAUGAGUACAUACCAUGUGUCUUUUUCUGUGAUUGGAUUACCUCACUCAGGAUGGUAUUUUCCAGUUUCAUCCAUUUGCCUAUGAAUUUCCUAAAGUCAUUGUUUUUGAUAGCUGAGUAAUAUUCCAUUGUGUAGAUGUACCACAUUUUCUGUAUCCAUUCCUCUGUUGAAGGGCAUCUGGGUUCUUUCCAGCUUCUGGCUAUUAUAAAUAAGGCUGCAAUGAACAUAGUGGAGCGUGUGUCUUUGUUAUAUGUUGGGGCAUCUUUUGGGUAUAUGCCCAAGAGAGUUAUAGCUGGGUCCUCAGGUAGUGCAAUGUCCAAUUUUCUGAGGACACUCCAGACUGAUUUCCAGAGUGGUUGUACCAGUCUGCAAUCCCACCAACAAUGGAGGAGUGUUCCUCUUUCUCCACAUCCUUGCCAGCAUCUGCUGUCGCCAGAGUUAUUGACCUUAGCCAUUCUGACUGGUGUGAGGUGGCAUCUCAGGGUUGUUUUGAUUUGCAUUUCCCUUAUGACUAAAGAUGUUGUACAUUUCUUUAGGUGCUUCUCAGCCAUUUGGCAUUCCUCAGCUGUGAAUUCUUUGUUUAGCUCUGAACCCCUUUUUUUUUCUUUAUUAACUUGAGUAUUUCUUAUUUACAUUUUGAUUGUUAUUCCCCUUCCCGGUUUCCGGGCCAACAUCCCCCUAAGCCCUCCCCAUCCGUUCUAUAUGGGCUUCCCCUCCCCAUCCUCCCCCUAUUACUACCCUCCUCCCAACAAUCACAUUCACUGGGGAUUCAGUCUUGCCAGGACCAAGGGCUUCCCCUUCCACUGGUGCCCUUACUAGGCUAUUCAUUGCUACCUAUGACGUUGGAGCCCAGGGUCAGUCCAUGUAUAGUCUUUGGGUAGUGGCUUAGUCCCUGGAAGCUCUGGUUGGUUGGCAUUGUUUGAACCCCAUUUUUAAUAGGGUUAUUUGUCUCCCUGCAGUCUAACUUCAUGGGUCCUUUGCAUAUUUUGGAUAUAAGCCCUCUAUCAGUUGUAGGAUUGAUAAAGAUCUUUCCCCCAUCUGUUGGUUGCAGUUUUGUCCUAACAACAGUGUCCUUUGCCCCAACUAAGAUAUUUUAAUUAAUUAAAACUGUUAUAUGGUCAAAUUGAGGAAAUUUAGGAUAAACCAAAUUCUUUACCACUGAAUUUACCAGAACCUUCCAGGUGCUCACAUAUGUGUACCAUCAGAAGAAAGGAGCACAGUUUGAAGCAGUCAACAUGCAGUGCUUCCAAUCCUUCUUGCACAUACCUGAGAAUUAUCUGGAGCACUCAGUGGUUGAGCGUUUGCCAUGCAUGCAUGAUGCUCUGAGUCUGAUUCCCAACAUUAAGAAGGAAAUAAAAACAGAGCUACCUGCAGAAGUGCAGGUUCACUGGGUCUACAGUGGAACAAGAAAUUAUGAAUAUCUAAUAAGCUUAAUGGACUUUUGUCAAUAUGGGAACUCUUAAGCUAAUGGGGAUCUGGAUGAAUGGAGGCUGUAGGCUUCAAGUAGGUUCGAGUUCUUCUAAGUAUCUUAUAACCUGGUCUGCUUGAGUCUGCCUCAUCCUGGUUAUUCUCUAUAGAUUAUGACCAUGGACCUAAAGCUGAUCUCACUGGGCAAGAGGACAUUCAGAGCACAUGCAGAGAUCACUGAAGGAAGUGAAAGCCCUAACAGGCAUAAGUGAAGCAUAAAUCCCCAAGCUACACCUGCUUUCCGUUAUUCCGCAUCCCUGCUGCUUCCACAGAGAACCGAGAGAAGAAAGAUGAACAUGUACAGGUUCAUUGCCUUCUGAGGCUCGCCUUGGCUCAUCUCGGUAGCUCAUGUCUGGAACAAGUUAUUGUAGUGUUUGGGAAAUACAGAAGACUCCUUAAGUAGGAAUUUUGACCAGCAUGAAGCAGUUCCCAUUGUGUUUGUGAUAAAUGAAAAUGCAGCCUGGUCUCUAUUACUGUACUGAAUAAAAUAAUUCUGCAGUAACAUCCUGUGAGGAUAAUAUUUCCAGGGUUGGGUCAUAGCUCUGUGUGACUACCAGCUGGGGCACCACAGUGAGCAAGUGACUCCAACUCACUAAUCCUCAUUUAGUCGCAUACACAGAGGGGAAAGCGAGAAGUUCACAGCAUUUUGAGGUGUAUUAGCAGAAUGCAAUCCAUCUGAACAAAUGCACACAGCAUCUGAGAUGCAGUAAAUCUUGACACAGACCAGCAUUUCUUUUAGGUUGGCUCAAUAGACUUUAAAUGUCAGACCUAUAGAUCAAUCGCCACGUGUGGGGAUGUGUAUUAUCUACCUUCAAUAAGACAUGUUAGUUGAGAUGGACUGUUCAGAAGAUUUUAUACUAAUUUAACAGAAUAUGUCUACCAAAUCUCAUGAUAAACUUAGUGCCCUUCGAUUAUGUGUGCCAGUAUUGAAUUGUUGAAAUAAUUCAUUUUAUUAGGACAUUUGACCAAGGGCUGAGUUUUCAUAUGCCUUCCUCAUCUAAUAGUUUUCAUAAUUCACCUUUAUUUUAUUUUAUUAUGUAUUUUAAAGAUUGGUUGGAUAGUAUAUGAUUGAUUGUAUAGAGCAAGUUGGUGAAUAACUAGUUUAACUGUAAAUUCAUAAAUAUUGUGCCAUGGAAAUGAAUGGAAAACCACUGAAUCUUACGCUAUGGAAUAAAUGGACACAAAUCCAGUAGGUCUAAACCACACCCACUUGUUAAUCUCCACUUCUGGGUGCAAGGAAUGUGGCCAUGGUGUGGCUGAAUCCUCUAUUAGGAUCUCAUGAGGACAAAAUAUGGAUGCCAGUCUUACCUGGAGCUUGAAAAAAGGAUGGCAAAAUUGAGUUCCUUGAAGCUAGGGUCAAUGAUUUCUUAUUGGCUGUCAGCAAACAAAACUAGUGUGCAAUUGAGGGAGUCACAUCCUAUCACCUUUGAUAUAUUUUGUUGACUGAAAAUAAAAAAGAAAUCCUUGCAAGUACUCCAGGAAAGAGUAUUAGACAAGGAUCUCACUGUAGAAUGUGCCCACCACACCAAACAGAGAAGCAAGAAACACACUGGCCAGACAUGGUGGCUCAUGCCUUUUAACCCCAGCACUUGGGAGGUAGAGGCAAGUGGAUCUCUGUGAGUUCAAGGCUAGUCAGGUCUACAAAGAGGGAGGUAGAACGGCCAGGGCUAUUACACAGAGAAUGUCUGUCUGUUUAGAGAGAGAGAGAGAGAGAGAGAGAGAGAGAGAGAGAGAGAGAGAGAGAACAACCAGAAAACAUCCAUUUAGGAGGCACAAUGAGAGUCAGAGUACUCAACGUUCCUGGAGCUUCAGAUGAAGAAGUCAAUCUCUGAAUUAACCCUGCAAUGCUUUUUUCAAAUAAUACACCAUACCUUUGUGUUUCUCAUUUUUCUGCAAUUAUGUCCUUGGGAAUAUAGAAGUCAAUGUAAUUUCCUUUGGGAUGAGAUAUUUAACAUUGUGAAAGCUAAUGGCUAUGUUAGUGAUGAUUCCCAGUAAGGACAUUCCUCAGUGAAGUCCCUGGGAUAUACUCUGGGUAGCUGUAGAAAUGACUUCAUAAGCUUCUUUUAGAAUCUGUUAAUUUUUUAAAUAAACUAUGGUUUUUAAUUUA